GCCCCCGUGGCCUAAUGGCUAAGGCGUGAGACUUCUAAUCUCAAGAUUGGUAAGUGAUCCUGUUUCAACAGAAAAAGCGUAAAUUAUGCUAACUAGAAUAAAGCGGGUUCGAGUCCCGCCGGGGGUU
rnacentral:tRNA from 1 species